rnacentral:rRNA from 1 species
AGCGAACGCUGGCGGCAGGCUUAACACAUGCAAGUCGAGCGGGCAUCCUUGUGGUGUCAGCGGCAGACGGGUGAGUAACGCGUGGGAACGUGCCCUUCGGUUCGGAAUAACUCAGGGAAACUUGAGCUAAUACCGGAUACGUGCGAGAGCAGAAAGGUUUAUCUGCCGAAGGAUCGGCCCGCGUCUGAUUAGCUAGUUGGUGAGGUUAUGGCUCACCAAGGCGACGAUCAGUAGCUGGUCUGAGAGGAUGAUCAGCCACACUGGGACUGAGAUACGGCCCAGACUCCUACGGGAGGCAGCAGUGGGGAAUAUUGGACAAUGGGGGCAACCCUGAUCCAGCCAUGCCGCGUGAGUGAUGACGGCCUUAGGGUUGUAAAGCUCUUUUCUCCGGGACGAUAAUGACGGUACCGGAGGAAUAAGCCCCGGCUAACUUCGUG